CAGGUAUGUCACUAUAUACUGUAAGAUGG
rnacentral:piRNA from 1 species